rnacentral:lncRNA from 1 species
UAUUGUACUGUAGAUAUUUUUCAAAGAUAAAUAAUAAUUAUAUAUAAUAAAAGAUGAAAAAGGGGAUGAACCCAACAUAGUCAGAUGCACAAAAAUGGUACAAGAAGUAUAAAAAGCAACACCCGAGAAUCUAAGAAAAAAUAAAGUAAACAAACAAAAGAAGAAAAACAAAUACAAUCAUAAAAAGCAAGAAAAAUCACCACAAGGCAAACUCCGAAGAAAUCCGCCUACAAAACUUCACCACAAUGUAGAACAAGUUAGAUCUCAAGUCAGUAG